GGGCUCGUAGCUCAGCUUGGAGAGCGCCGCGUUCGCAACGCGGAGGUCGAGGGUUCGAUCCCCUUCGGGUCCACCA
rnacentral:tRNA from 1 species